rnacentral:rRNA from 1 species
UACGGAGGGUGCGAGCGUUGUCCGGAAUCACUGGGCGUAAAGAGCGCGUAGGCGGCCCAGUAAGUCCGCUCUGAAAGUCAGGGGCUCAACCCCUGAAUGCGGGUGGAUACUGCUGGGCUAGAGUCCGGAAGAGGCGAGUGGAAUUCCCGGUGUAGCGGUGAAAUGCGCAGAUAUCAGGAAGAACACCCGUGGCGAAGGCGGCUCUCUGGGACGGUACUGGACGCUGAGACGCGAAAGCGUGGGGAGCGAACAGG